GACGAACGCUGGCGGCGUGCUUAACACAUGCAAGUCGUACGGUAAGGCCCUUUCGGGGGUACACGAGUGGCGAACGGGUGAGUAACACGUGAGUAACCUGCCCACAACUUUGGGAUAACGCUAGGAAACUGGUGCUAAUACUGGAUAUGUGCUCCUGCUGCAUGGUGGGGGUUGGAAAGCUCCGGCGGUUGUGGAUGGACUCGCGGCCUAUCAGCUUGUUGGUGGGGUAGUGGCCUACCAAGGCGGCGACGGGUAGCCGGCCUGAGAGGGUGACCGGCCACAUUGGGACUGAGAUACGGCCCAGACUCCUACGGGAGGCAGCAGUGGGGAAUAUUGCACAAUGGGCGCAAGCCUGAUGCAGCAACGCCGCGUGCGGGAUGACGGCCUUCGGGUUGUAAACCGCUUUCAGCAGGGACGAAGCUUUUUGUGACGGUACCUGCAGAAGAGGCACCGGCUAACUACGUG
rnacentral:rRNA from 1 species